GACGAACGCUGGCGGCGUGCUUAACACAUGCAAGUCGAACGAGGCCCCUCCUUCGGGAGGGUGUCCUAGUGGCGAACGGGUGAGUAACACGUGGGCAACCUGCCCCCGGCUCUGGGAUAACCCCAAGAAAUUGGGGCUAAUACCGGAUAUGACCGCUGACCGCAUGGUCUGGUGGUGGAAAGAUUUAUCGGCUGGGGAUGGGCCCGCGGCCUAUCAGCUUGUUGGUGGGGUAGUGGCCUACCAAGGCGACGACGGGUAGCCGGCCUGGGAGGGUGACCGGCCACACUGGGGCUGAGACACGGCCCAGACUCCUACGGGAGGCAGCAGUGGGGAAUAUUGCGCAAUGGGCGGAAGCCUGACGCAGCGACGCCGCGUGAGGGAUGACGGCCUUCGGGUUGUAAACCUCUUUCAGCAGGGACGAGGCGCAAGUGACGGUACCUGCAGAAGAAGCACCGGCCAACUACGUGCCAGCAGCCGCCGUAAGAC
rnacentral:rRNA from 1 species